rnacentral:rRNA from 1 species
UACGUAGGUGGCAAGCGUUGUCCGGAAUUAUUGGGCGUAAAGCGCGCGCAGGUGGUUUCUUAAGUCUGAUGUGAAAGCCCACGGCUCAACCGUGGAGGGUCAUUGGAAACUGGGGAACUUGAGUGCAGAAGAGGAGAGUGGAAUUCCCGGUGUAGCGGUGAAAUGCGCAGAUAUCGGGAGGAACACCAAUGGCGAAGGCAGCUUGCUGGGACGGUACUGACGCUGAGGCGCGAAAGCGUGGGGAGCAAACAGG